rnacentral:rRNA from 1 species
UACGUAGGUCCCGAGCGUUGUCCGGAUUUAUUGGGCGUAAAGCGAGCGCAGGUGGUUUAUUAAGUCUGGUGUAAAAGGCAGUGGCUCAACCAUUGUAUGCAUUGGAGACUGGUAGACUUGAGUGCAGGAGAGGAGAGUGGAAUUCCAUGUGUAGCGGUGAAAUGCGUAGGUAUAUGGAGGAACACCGGUGGCGAAAGCGGCUCUCUGGCCUGUAACUGACACUGAGGCUCGAAAGCGUGGGGAGCAAACAGG